rnacentral:rRNA from 1 species
GUUGACCUCGGAUCAGGUAGGGAUACCCGCUGAACUUAAGCAUAUCAAUAAGCGGAGGAAAAGAAACCAACCGGGAUUGCCUCAGUAACGGCGAGUGAAGCGGCAAGAGCUCAAAUUUGAAAUCUGGCCCCUCCGGGGUCCGAGUUGUAAUUUGCAGAGGAUGCUUCGGGUGCAGCCCCCAUCUAAGUUCCCUGGAACGGGACGUCAUAGAGGGUGAGAAUCCCGUAUGGGAUGGGGUGUCUGCGUCCGUGUGAAGCUCCUUCGACGAGUCGAGUUGUUUGGGAAUGCAGCUCUAAAUGGGUGGUAAAUUUCAUCUAAAGCUAAAUAUUGGCCGGAGACCGAUAGCGCACAAGUAGAGUGAUCGAAAGAUGAAAAGCACUUUGAAAAGAGAGUUAAACAGCACGUGAAAUUGUUGAAAGGGAAGCGCUUGCGACCAGACUCGCCUACGGGGUUCAGCCGGCUUUCGGGCCGGUGUACUUCCCCGUGGGCGGGCCAGCGUCGGUUUGGGCGGCCGGUUAAAGGCCCCGGGAAUGUAGCGCCCUUCGGGGCGCCUUAUAGCCCGGGGUGCAAUGCGGCCUGCCUGGACCGAGGAACGCGCUUCGGCACGGACGCUGGCAUAAUGGUCGUAAGCGACC